rnacentral:rRNA from 1 species
AGGAAACCCCGCGUAUAUCUGUACCCGCACCCGCGGUAAUACAGAGGGGCCAAGCGUUUUCCGGAAUUAUUGGGCGUAAAGGGCGCGUAGGCGGCCUUCUAAGUCUCGGGUGAAAUCCCUCGGCUCAACCCGGGAAGUGCGUCCCAGACUGCGUGCCUUGAGUCCGGGAGAGGGAUGUGGAAUUCCCGGUGUAGCGGUGAAAUGCGUAGAUAUCUGGAGGAACACCCGUGGGGAAGGCGGCUCCCUGGGCCGGAACUGACGCUGAGACGCGAAAACCUGGGGAGCAAACGCGAUUAGAUACCCCGGUAGUCCUCGCCCUAAACGAUGAGUACUCGGUGUGGCGGGUAUCGACCCCUUCCGUGCCGAAGCUAACGCAUUAAGCACUCCGCUGGGAGUACGUCCUGACG